rnacentral:lncRNA from 1 species
CACGAAUUGUAGGUGGGUGACCUCCCACUCUGUGCUCAGUGGCACAAUGAAUGCUUCAAGCAACCUCACCCUGAAGCCUCGCAGUGAAUUUGGAGGCAGCUGACUUUGAUAGCCGUGCCAUCUCCCCGCUGGGAGCUGGAUGCGGAGGAGGCUGGAACAGCCAGCAGAGCCUCCUGGACUUCUUCUGUUUUCCUCUGAGCCCACGGUGGCCCCCUGCCCCGGUAUUGCCUCUAAUCUGGAGGGUGUGCUCUCUGGACCUCAUCCCAGGGGGCCGAGGUUUCUCCCAGGGCUGGAAGGCUUUUCUCUGUGUGUGGCGGCUGGAAAUAUUUCAACUGAGGGCAGGAGGAGGCUCUGCCAAGACCGUCUGUCCUUCCUCACUGUCCUCCGAGGCUGCACCGAUGGACAGCGUCUUCCUGC